rnacentral:rRNA from 1 species
CCUACGGGUAGCAGCAGUAGGGAAUCUUCCACAAUGGGCGAAAGCCUGAUGGAGCAACGCCGCGUGGGUGAAGAAGGUCUUCGGAUCGUAAAACCCUGUUGUUAGAGAAGAAAGUUCGUGAGAGUAACUGUUCACGUUUCGACGGUAUCUACCCAGAAAGCCACGGCUAACUACUUGCCAGCAGCCGCGGUAAUACGUAGGUGGCAAGCGUUAUCCGGAUUUAUUGGGCGUAAAGGUAACGCAGGCGGUCUUUUAAGUCUGAUGUGAAAGCCUUCGGCUUAACCGGAGGAGUGCAUUGGAAACUGGGAGACGUGAGUGCAGAAGAGGAGAGUGGAACUCGAUGUGUAGCGGUGAAAUGCGUAGAUAUAUGGAAGAACACCAGUGGCGAAAGCGGCUCUCUGGGCUGUAACUGACGCUGAGGUUCGAAAGCGUGGGUAGCAAACAGGAUUAGAUACCCCUGUAGUC